rnacentral:rRNA from 1 species
CAGCCGCCGCGGUAAAACGGAGGGGGCUAGCGUUGUUCGGAAUUACUGGGCGUAAAGCGCACGUAGGCGGCUUUGUAAGUUAGAGGUGAAAGCCCGGAGCUCAACUCCGGAAUUGCCUUUAAGACUGCAGAGCUAGCAGGUGAGAGAGGUGAGUGGAAUUCCGAGUGUAGAGGUGAAAUUCGUAGAUAUUCGGAAGAACACCAGUGGCGAAGGCGGCUCACUGGCUCAUACUGGACGCUGAGGUGCGAAAGCGUGGGGAGCAAACAGGAUUAGAUACCCCCGUAGUCCCUGUCUCUUAUAC